rnacentral:rRNA from 1 species
CUUCCGUAGGUGAACCUGCGGAGGGAUCAUUGCUGGAACGCGCUUCGGCGCACCCAGAAACCCUUUGUGAACUUAUACCUAUUUGUUGCCUCGGCGUAGGCCGGCCUUUUGUGACAAAGGCCCCCUGGAAACAGGGAGCAGCCCGCCGGCGGCCAACUAAACUCUUGUUUCUAUAGUGAAUCUCUGAGUAAAAACAUAAAUGAAUCAAAACUUUCAACAACGGAUCUCUUGGUUCUGGCAUCGAUGAAGAACGCAGCGAAAUGCGAUAAGUAAUGUGAAUUGCAGAAUUCAGUGAAUCAUCGAAUCUUUGAACGCACAUUGCGCCCUCUGGUAUUCCGGAGGGCAUGCCUGUUCGAGCGUCAUUUCAACCCUCAAGCCUGGCUUGGUGAUGGGGCACUGCCUUCUAGCGAGGGCAGGCCCUGAAAUCUAGUGGCGAGCUCGCUAGGACCCCGAGCGUAGUAGUUAUAUCUCGUUCUGGAAGGCCCUGGCGGUGCCCUGCCGUUAAACCCCCAACUUCUGAAAAUUGACCUCGGAUCAGUAGAUGCCCG